GAUGAACGCUGGCGGCGUGCCUAAUACAUGCAAGUCGAGCGAACGGACGAGAAGCUUGCUUCUCUGAUGUUAGCGGCGGACGGGUGAGUAACACGUGGAUAACCUACCUAUAAGACUGGGAUAACUUCGGGAAACCGGAGCUAAUACCGGAUAAUAUUUUGAACCGCAUGGUUCAAAAGUGAAAGACGGUCUUGCUGUCACUUAUAGAUGGAUCCGCGCUGCAUUAGCUAGUUGGUAAGGUAACGGCUUACCAAGGCAACGAUGCAUAGCCGACCUGAGAGGGUGAUCGGCCACACUGGAACUGAGACACGGUCCAGACUCCUACGGGAGGCAGCAGUAGGGAAUCUUCCGCAAUGGGCGAAAGCCUGACGGAGCACCGCCGCGUGAGUGAUGAAGGUCUUCGGAUCGUAAAACUCUGUUAUUAGGGAAGAACAUAUGUGUAAGUAACUGUGCACAUCUUGACGGUACCUAAUCAGAAAGCCACGGCUAACUACGUGCCAGCAGCCGCGGUAAUACGUAGGUGGCAAGCGUUAUCCGGAAUUAUUGGGCGUAAAGCGCGCGUAGGCGGUUUUUUAAGUCUGAUGUGAAAGCCCACGGCUCAACCGUGGAGGGUCAUUGGAAACUGGAAAACUUGAGUGCAGAAGAGGAAAGUGGAAUUCCAUGUGUAGCGGUGAAAUGCGCAGAGAUAUGGAGGAACACCAGUGGCGAAGGCGACUUUCUGGUCUGUAACUGACGCUGAUGUGCGAAAGCGUGGGGAUCAAACAGGAUUAGAUACCCUGGUAGUCCACGCCGUAAACGAUGAGUGCUAAGUGUUAGGGGGUUUCCGCCCCUUAGUGCUGCAGCUAACGCAUUAAGCACUCCGCCUGGGGAGUACGACCGCAAGGUUGAAACUCAAAGGAAUUGACGGGGACCCGCACAAGCGGUGGAGCAUGUGGUUUAAUUCGAAGCAACGCGAAGAACCUUACCAAAUCUUGACAUCCUUUGACAACUCUAGAGAUAGAGCCUUCCCCUUCGGGGGACAAAGUGACAGGUGGUGCAUGGUUGUCGUCAGCUCGUGUCGUGAGAUGUUGGGUUAAGUCCCGCAACGAGCGCAACCCUUAAGCUUAGUUGCCAUCAUUAAGUUGGGCACUCUAAGUUGACUGCCGGUGACAAACCGGAGGAAGGUGGGGAUGACGUCAAAUCAUCAUGCCCCUUAUGAUUUGGGCUACACACGUGCUACAAUGAACAAUACAAAGGGCAGCGAAACCGCGAGGUCAAGCAAAUCCCAUAAAGUUGUUCUCAGUUCGGAUUGUAGUCUGCAACUCGACUACAUGAAGCUGGAAUCGCUAGUAAUCGUAGAUCAGCAUGCUACGGUGAAUACGUUCCCGGGUCU
rnacentral:rRNA from 1 species